GAAAUGCGAUAAGUAAUGUGAAUUGCAGAAUUCAGUGAAUCAUCGAAUCUUUGAACGCACCUUGCGCUCCUUGGUAUUCCAAGGAGCAUGCCUGUUUGAGUGUCAUGGAAUUCUCAACUCUAUUUGCUUUUGUGAAUAGAGCUUGGAUUUGGAGGUUUAUUGCUGGUACUUGUGAUCGGCUCCUCUUGAAUGCAUUAGCUCGAACCUUUGCGGAUCAGCUAUCGGUGUGAUAAUUGUCUACGCCGUUGCAGUGAAGCAUAUCAAUGGGCUCGGCUUCCAAUCGUCCUUUACUGGACAAUGACUUUGACCUUUGACCUCAAAUCAGGUAGGAUUACCCGCUGAACUUAAGC
rnacentral:misc_RNA from 1 species